rnacentral:rRNA from 1 species
ACGGGAGGCAGCAGUGAGGAAUAUUGGUCAAUGGUCGGAAGACUGAACCAGCCAAGUAGCGUGAAGGAAGACUGCCCUACGGGUUGUAAACUGCUUUUGUACGGGAAUAAAGUGACCCACGUGUGGGUUUUUGCAUGUACCGUAAGAAUAAGGACCGGCUAAUUCCGUGCCAGCAGCCGCGGUAAUACGGAAGGUCCGGGCGUUAUCCGGAUUUAUUGGGUUUAAAGGGAGCGUAGGCCGUGCUUUAAGCGUGUUGUGAAAUGUAGGCGCCCAACGUCUGCACUGCAGCGCGAACUGGAGCACUUGAGUACGCAGGAAGUAGGCGGAAUUCGUCGUGUAGCGGUGAAAUGCUUAGAUAUGACGAAGAACUCCGAUUGGGAAGCCAGCUUACUGUAGCGCCACUGACGUUGAGGCUCGAAAGUGUGGGUAGCAAACAGGAUUAGAUACCCUGGUA